UUCAUGCUCUAUAGGGAAAAAAACCAUGGGCACUCAUUUCAGCCUCCUGCCUGGAUAAGACAUCUUGGCUGUGUACAAGCCAUGCCUAUCUUACUGUUUCCCUUCUCUCCUUACCCCUCUUUCACAUUCCGUCUAUUUAGAUUAUUGCGUUAUGAUUUUAUAGUGCUGUGCCCCACAGAUUUUGUCUUUUGCCAUAGCACCUGUGCCCACUUUCCUGCUUCUUGCAACCUUCUCUUCCAGCCCCACUAUUUCUCAGCCUUUCUCUUCCCAGCACAGAUGCUUACUAUUUUCCUUCUCAGUGCCUGGGCACUAGCAGACUCUCCUUGCCCAAGAUUUGGUUGGGAAAAUCCUACUGAAACUUGGACUGAGGCAAGCUCAGAUGCUCUAGGUGGGAAAGCCCAUGUGAGGCAUUUUAGGGACCUUUAAGGAGUGGUGCAGUGGAGCAUGUUUAGCAAAUACAGAAAUAGAGAGACACCAGAGACCCAGCUGGCAUGUAGAUGGGGUGCAUGUGGACUGCAGGGCUCUAAGGUGUUGACCAGGUAUGUGCUUUUAAGCAGAAAGUAAGAGGCACAUCCCCGGCACUGAGGACACUUCCAAAUUCCAGGCUCCAGCUCCAUGAGGAAGCUCAACUCUGCCCAACGUGGAGAGAACACUAAGCCAGGAGAGGAUGGAGAAGAAGGAUGCUUUUCCUCUUCAUCUCAAACUUGAAAACAUUGGAGAUGUUUUUACUGAAACCCUCAACCCAGCAUGGACAAUUUCAGUUAAAACCAUUUACUUCUGGUGAAGUCAUGAUGUAACUGAGAUGGAGUCUGUGACAGAGAGCCCAGGGAGCACCGGAGGCCACAACCUGAUUGUCAUGGGGAGGGUGAUGACGUGCUUGCAGAGGAGGUGGCAAGCUCACAGCUACAGCAGCACUGAGGGUCAUAGUGCUGUGAAGCCCGAUGGGAAGGUGCUCUGCUUCCCAUGUAUCCACCUGCAUGAGUUUUGUGCACAGAUCUGACCUAAGCUGCAGCAACAACAAACUGGUGGUCUCAGGAAGACUAGCAGAUGAAGGACUUACCUCUGGACUCUACUGACGAGGAAAUGUGCUGAGCCAUGCUUUUAGUCUCAGAGAGAAUUGAUUCAUAAAAUAAGGAGAAGAUAAAGAAGGGGAUGGCUCUGCAGCUAAAGCAAUGGGUGCUGAGGCAAAGCUGGUGUGGCAGAAUGACCUGUGUGACUGCAGGUGGAGAAGCUCCUCUUGAUGGAUGCACAGGGAAGUACUGUCCUCCCAUGUCAGUAUGGACUAAAAUCUGCCCCUUACACAGGCUGUGCACGUAGCCUGGUAUGACAAAGCCUUGAUCUCACCUGGAGCCUGAUAGCAACAUCAUACUGCAAGCACACAGCCACCCUCAGACCCUCUGAAACACUGAACAUCCUCUGCUCUCUUCGGUCCUUCAUGUCCUAGGGGGUUUGCACCUAUGAUAUACACGUAUACGUUUGUGUGUGUCUAUGCAUAUGCAUAUGAAUGUCAUUUUAUCAAAUCACCUCAAAAACUCAUGGGUGGGCACGGGAUGGCAUUCUUCAGGCACAACAGCAGCACUGGGUGAGCAGGACAGCCCUUACCUAUUUCCCAGCUCCCCCAGAGAUGGGCCAGGUCAUUCAUGAGGGGCUUUUCCGUGUAAAACCAUGGUGGAGUGCCAUCUGCUGGGCAUGUACAGGGCUCUUCUGGCAACAAGGAGGAAUAAAGCAAAGGAAAAACCCACAGAAAUUGGCUAUGUCUAUGCUGGGACAUGACAUUUUGCUGAGACCCCUCCUCAGCAAGCUGGAAGGGAGCAGCAUCUUGCAACUUGUCAUGGUGCUGCGAAGUGUUCAGUGCAGGUGGCCACUGGCUCCCACCAACAAUCAAACUGCCCAGGAGAAUUCUGGAGGAGAAUCCCAGUGCAUCUGUGCCAAAAGCACACCAGGACCCACCCUGAUAGCGUGGAUGUACCAGCAGUAGUGAUGUACCAGUAGGAACCAGUGCCUAGGGACAACUGUUGGUAGUAGUCGAUCUGUUAGCAUAGAUGUUGUCUUCAUGUGAUGUGCUUGUGAAGGACCAUACCAGUGACAGGGAGGCAGAACAGGUUUCAUACUUUGCAACCUUGACUAUCACACACAGCAGCUUUGAAUGAGAUCUGAAGGUAGCUGCUUCUGUCCGUCAGUUACACAGGGAGUUUGCCCCCUAAAUGUACAGCAUUUGGCUGCCUCAAGGAGGCUGUGUGAAUCCCUUGUGCUUAACAUCUCUAAAGGGAAAGUCUCCUCCUUUUGAGCCAUUUCUCCCUGCUGCAUCUUCUCUGAUUCAGCACAGAUGGUGGCAGUUAUUGAAACCUGAAUCACAGUGGCAUUUUGUUAACCCUCCUCUGAUUACAGUGUGAACGAAGAAUACAAAGGAGGAGGGCAAGAAAAAGGGGAGAGCGGGACGCAAGCUGCAAAUUAAAGGCAAAUCACAAGCUUGGACUCUGCUAUUGUGCGAGUGGGGAGGUCCAAUUUUCUACCAUGCCAGGAAACUGCAAGACAUACCACAGUGCCAAAGAUCAAGGCCAGUACACCAGCCAUUAAGAUCCCUGUUUUUUCUCCUAUUAGAGAUCCAGCUGCCUCGUGCAUUUCUGUACAGCUGCAGCAUGUUUCCUUCCCAUCACAGAGAAUCCAGGGAAACAACAGAAAAAUAUACGGGGACUGAGUUGGUCAAGGUCUCUCAGAAAAUUUUUAUAAAAGGAUUGAAUCUAAAUACACAAAUAAAUUAAUGUUAGAUGUCUUUGCCUGCAUGCAGUAACUGCUAAUUCUACUUUCCUCAAUGAAAUACAUCAAAAGUAAGCUUUCUCCCCAUCCAUCAUUUGCCUCCCAAAAGUAGGAAAGGGACCUUGACGUCAAGGAAUAGUUAAACCCAACAAGCGAGAGGUAACGUGUCCUUCAAAACAAGCACAUUCUUUCCUGACUUCAUGGUUUUAUUCACGUCCUUCCAGCCUACUCCAAACACAAACUUAUCACUCUCUUUUUUUUUUUUUUUUUUUCCCAAAUCAAUAAUAGCUUGCACAGGGAUUGUGGAAUGCUGCAUUUGAAAGCCUCUCACACACUUUGUUGAAGUAAGGGACUGAUAAUAAUUAAUAGCUGCCAAGGACAUUCAGCCUCACUGAGUGGCUGUUAGCAUGGUUUUCCCCUAGACACAGUUUAGACUGAGCCUUUCCAGCUUUCCUAGACAGCAACUGAAGACCAGACGAUUUCUCUGCACUUCUGUGCACAACCCCCUGCAGAAGGUGAAGAGAACAUUCUGUGAAGACCUUGGACCGAAAAUCCUUGUCAAUGGAUGCAUUCUGCACCUUUUCUAGAAGCUCUUCCCAUGCAGCAGGGCAGUUCAGCUGUGCUAGAAAGGCACGGCUUCCCCACCCGUAUGGACAUCUGUGAUUUGGGUAGGUGAAGUAGCUCUGGACAGGCUUCCAGGUCACAGGGGAAUAUCAAAACACCGAAACACUGCGUACUGGAGGCUGAAGGAUUUGUUCCAGAUGGUUUCUGCCUCUUGCUCUCAUGAUUCAACCACUCUGAUGGGGUUAGAAACCUUAGGAAUUGUGCCUGGAUCGUAAGCUGCCUUUAUUUCGUAGACAUUCUGGAGUUAGGCCUAAAAGCAAUGCUUUUGGGAGCAACUAGUCUAAUAACAUCACUCAACACAGUAGCUAAAGGAAGUAAGACAGCUCAAGUGAAGCGCAGAGCUCCUGGCUCUGCAGCUGACUUUUGUCAGCUCCUCUCAGACCAGAGGAAGAAAGUUUUGGAAUUCUCUCAUUUUCUUCCUUUUUGCUUGGGCCAGCUGGAGACAGAAGAGCUGCAGGGCCGGCAGGCAUGGAGCACACUGAAGGCAGCAGUGAUACAGAAGAAAAGCAAUCUGACAGGCAGCCAGGAAAAGGAAAGAUCCUGGCCCUGAGUACUUUGUAGGGCAAAUCUGGCAAACGCCAGCACCUGCCAUGUUCUUUGUGGUUUUCUCUCUUCAGUAAAAUGCAUAUGCUCUUCUGAAGGUGCCAGUGCUUAUGCUUGGACAGGAGGAGCGAAGACCUUUAGCCUGGCUGAGCACCUCGAUUUUCCCAGAGCUGUGUGAACAUCUUCAGGCUGUAGGAUUAGACAAAGACACAAGAUCAGACCAACAUCUACAUAAAUGUGGUCAAUGGGAAAGCUGUAAUGGGAAAUACGUGUGCAGUAUGUGGCAGCUUGGAACAUAUCUAUCCCAUGAAUGAGUAACUGGGAGAUAAUAUUUGCUUAUGUCAGGGCCCAAUCUGGUUCUUACUUCAAGCUGUCAGUGGCCAAAAGAGCAGUCUAAACAGAAGCAAUUUAGUCCAUUAGCAGACAUCAGAGAAUCUACCUGCCUUGACAAAACCCAGCUAUGUUUCUAAUUAAGCAGAGAUAGCUCAGAGUUUCUGUUGCAGCCACUGUGGUUACAAUCCCAAAUUCCCACAACAAAUUGCAUACAUUUCUCACUGCUGGCAGAAUUACCUAUUUAUCUACCAUCUCUGGUCAAAUGCUGGAGUGCAUACAGAAGUGCUAUCAUAGCCAUUACCUGAAAUUUGUCUGAGUAGGGCUUGUGGGAUUUGGUGUUUGACACCAGGUGUUCUGCCUGAAGGGCGGAAGCUUCCUUUUUAGCACGAACAAAGGAAAGUCACUUGGGGCUUGGACUUCCCUCUUGUUCUCCAUCAGCACAGGGAGAAGCUAGGACCCUGAGUCAAAAUUUAUCAUGUUAAGUUCCUUCCCCUCCUGCUUUCUACAGGAAGCCUACUAUUUUUUGUUGUUGUUUUUUGUCCUUUCUUUUCUCCUAUACAUCCUUCCUCCAGCUUUCUACACAGCCCAUAGAGAGGCCUUCCCAUGCUGCCCAGUUCCCUCUACAGACUUUUCCCUUGUUGUUCACUGUGCCAGCACCCAAAGAAUCACAGAAACACAGAAUGGCUGAGGUGAGAAGAGUCUUUUGGUGAUCACUUUCUCAAGCAGGGACACCCAGAGCAGGCUGCCCAGGACCAUGUCCAGGCAGCUUUCGAAAAUCUCCAAGGAGGGGACUCCACAAAUCUCUCUGGACAACCAUUUUCAUUAUAUGGUCACAUUCACAGUAAAGAAGUGUUUUCUGAUGUUCAGACAAUCUACUGUGUGUCAGUUUGUGCCCAAUGCCUCAUCUUGUCACUGGACUCCACCAAAAAGAUCCUGGCUCCAUUCUCUUUGCACUCUCCCUUCAGGUAUUUGUAUAUAUUGACAAGAACUCCCUGAGCCUUUACUUCUCCAAGCUGGAAUUAUUUUGCUUCUGCUCUGCUGGUAGAAAUGAAGGAAAACACUCUCUCAUGCAGGCCCUCAUGCACAUUGACUAAGGCCCACACUUUAUCCAGGGCUGCAAAUGAAAGUUGCUUUGUCAUAGGUAGAUCAGCCUACUUGUCUGUGCUAUUAGUGAAUCCCCAAUGCGUAAUACCCCACUGGCAUUACACCAGUUAGCAUGGGUAUGAGUGGAGGGCUCACUGUGAAAUCUAUUACAGGGCCAGGCAGUCCUCAGGAAGUUGCUCCUGCUGUGGAGGCCCCACUGUGAUGAGGGCAGCCAUGGCGUGGGCCUGCACUUGGUUCUCCUCAGAACUAAUGAAGAAGGGAAGAACAGCUCAUUUAUUCCCUUGUUGUUUUCUGAAAACCCUCUUUUUGACAUUCCCUGGAUACCAAAGUUGACAUUCCCAGGGUAUCAAGGUGCAGCCUAGACGUGGUCAUCCUGAAUUGACACUGGGACAGUACUUUUACUUUCAGCUUAUAAAUAUAUUUAAAACUAUCAGCUCGUACGCUGCACCAGUAGUCAGUGGUCAGGUUUCAUCCUUGCUGGCAAGCAGAGGGAUAAUCCUGCUGUCAUCUGUGCAGCUGGCACCUCAUGCUUUGCUGCUGUGGAGAUCCCCUCCUGCCCCUGCAUGCCCUGUGCCACCAGAGGAGAGGACCUGCAGUCAGCUGUGUCCCUGCCACGAGCACCCACUGCCCUGGGAGUAGAAGAGGGCUAUUACUUUGCCAGUCCCUUGCAUGAGUUUAGCGUGGGUUUAAGCUCAGCUUAGCAUGCUGCUGUGGGGUGGAAAGGGCCAGAGGCAGCAUGGGUGACUGCCAUCUUCUUCCUCCUGAUGGAGGAGCUGGGGGACAAAGGAAGGAAGGGUGAACACAGAAGGAGGGGACACUGGAUGGGGAGACAGGGUGGGAGUGGCAGGAUGGCACAAUAAGGGGCUUCAGUGAAGCCUGGAGAGGGGUGCAGGGAGGGAAGAAGCCCGGGCAGGAGGUGAAAGGAGAAUUGUAACUGGGACAAGGGAGAGUGCUGGGGAAAUAAGCCUUGCCCUUAUGAAGAAUGUAACUUUUUUUUUUUCUUUUACAGCCCUUUUAUUUUAAUUGAAGCCAUUCUUCUUUUCUCCCAGCUUUCUUUGCCCAUUCUUUUCCUCCUGGUAUUUGACUGUCCAUCUGUAAUUCUGCUUCACUGUUUGCUAAUUUUCCGUCUCUUGCUCUGCCAGUACAACUGUCAUCGCAUGCAUUGUGCUAUGUCCUUUAUGAAACGAUGUGCAGAUAGCAAACACCCUGUAUGUACAAUACAAAGGCUGCUCUUACCUCUGUGUUGGCAUCGACUCUCCAGCUGCAAUUAUCCUUUCAUUUCUUCUCUUUGUCCUUUUCUGUUCUGUGGGCCUUGAUUUUCCCAUGUUUUCUGCAGCCUGGUCCCUUGCCAUCUUUGCUUUCCCCUCUCUUGAGCUGAGCUGGUCCCUGUCCCUGCUGUUGGUAUCACUUGCCAUGCAUCCCUCCCUUGCCUGGAGCAGCCUUGCUGAGGCAGCUGGAAUGGAGCAGUGCAGUGUAACAGGGAGAACGUGAACAGCAUCUACUGCAGAUCUCUGUGGUCAUGGCUAAGGUCAAAGAGCUAAACAUUUAUGGUUUGUGCGUGGGUGUAAUAUAAACAACAGCAAUUAUUCAUUUUCAAAACUUCAUAACUCAGCCAAAAUUUGACCAUUUUUGCUGGACUAAUCACAGAGGCUGCUACUUCUAAAGAUUAACUCGCAGUCAAACUUUACAGCCUUCCCCUCCCAGACAGAGUUUUGUUAUUGCUAUUAAAUUGAAGAAGCCAUUGUCACGGUUAUAAUGAGCUUCCCACCUCACCCUCUCCUGCCACUGGAGAUGUGACCUUUGUGAGGUACGGCCCCAAAAAUCAUACUCUCUUGCAUAGUAUUUGCUUAGGUCAACUAGGGAAGCAGCAAGUACUUCAAAAUACUUGAAUAUACAUGAGAUGGCUCCUGAUGACCCUUCACUUGCCCUUUCAGAGGUCCCAAGUGUAAGGUAGAGGGUAAAGUUUCUUCAUUAUACCUAGAUCCCCAAGAAAAUCCCGUAGUAAUCCCCAUCCUUACGCUGCCUGCAAGAAUGCUCCAUCCUCCUUCUGCCAUCACAUGCAGUGUAAUCCUCCUUUUCCUGCGUCACCCGUUCAGUGAUCCUUCUUAUUCUGCAAGAUCACAUGCAUUGCUUAUAGCAACCUCCCUCACACUUGCAGGGCAAGCACCAAGUCCAGGAGAAAACACCCUUCCUCUGCUUCUCCCAUAUGUUGCAAAGAAAGCCUCCCUUUUUACCUGCCCCCCCCAAAAGCCCAGUGCAGUUUAGAUCCCAUUUCUCUCCCUCUGAUGCCAUGAGACCUCUCUUCCUCGAGUGGUACCAAAGGAAGUGCUUAUUAACUUAGCAAGCUAGCUUUUGCUGCCCGUCAUUGAGAUUCAUUUCACUUUGCUGCGAUAACCUUUCCCACUCACCCUGAUCCUCUGAGGCCAAGAGCAAGGCAACAGCAAGCUGACAUUUUCUGUCUCAACAAAACAAUGAGACACACUGAAAGAUCAGAUGAGGGCUAGGUUAUUCUGCCAGCUCCCCCAUGCACUCGCGUCCUUGCUCCACACACAAAGCAUUGUAUUGCAAACCAGUAUGCUGCUUAGUCACGAGAAGCCUGUACGAGCUUGUAGCCUCAGGUAAAGAGCUGCAUUUUUUCAGUGUGAGAAACAGGGAGCAAGAUGAAGAAAAAAUACUCUGCAAAAUGGCCUCGUUGGUAUGUGCAAUCCCAAAGGGUCAGGAUUCAUAUACUCUCUUUCUGCAGUGUCACAUACCCCAGUGCAGCCACGGCAGUUCUGGGGAAAGAGCUUUACACAUUAUCCAUCAGUAGCUGGGGGCAAAUAGGUGAUCUCAAAAGCCACUGCUUCCUUGAUUAUUGUCAUCUUGCAACUCCAAUGGAGCAGCAAAAUUGAGAUGGAGAUAAUAAGAUACCAAAGUGAUGGUGAGUUGCUAAUCCGUACAAGCAUGGCUGUGCUGCUCCUGAGACAGCCCCUCUUGCCUUUGGUGGAGAUGACUCAAUCCAGAAGGGGUGAUGAGGAGAAAGAUUUAAAUCAAACCCAAUUACUGGGGCUUGAUAGGCUUCCCUGGCAAACUGUCUGGGAUUGACCCAGCAGUUGUCAGCUGGCUGCCUCCUCCCUUGACACUGCUCAGAGGGUUCAGAAGCCCUAUGAAUCACAGCCAGGCUCUUAACGAUCUUCAGGGCCCCAAGAGCAAGCCCCUCCUUCUGCCCUUACAGGCACGCAUGGAGGGUCUUUAUAAAGGAGGCUGAGUAACACAUGGCCUUUACCUAACCUUCAUCAGUGGGCAAACAAAACGAGAAACGCCUCUGUGAGCAUUUUGUCUGAGACUCUGGAAAUGGCAUGCUCUCAUUGUGGCUUUGGAAAUAAUCCACCUAAGAGAUUAUUCUGGCGUGGCUGUGAGAUAAUACCGUGAAGCCAUUGCGUGUGCUCAGCUCCCGUCCCUCAGGCACCUGGGCUCUGCCCAGGCCUCUCCCCAGACACAUGAAGGGCUCGUGAAGGCAGCGGGCAGGACCUGACCCACCGAUAGCGCCUGGCUAUCACAGGCAACAGAUGCCUGCAGACAUGAAACGAGAGGCAGGGGGGAAGCACAGCAUGCUGCAGAGGGAGAGCUUGUUAUCAUGGGCCAUGCCACAGCAAGGCCAGCACUCACUAGCCAGUACCUAAGCCUCCCCAGGAGGAUGCAGGCCAUUAAGCCUGCUGGAAAAAUGAUUCAGAAAUGAUUCUGAAACAAAUCAAAUGCAUCCAUUUUCUCCCUCAAUGCAGUCUUACAUGUGGCUAUUAAAUCAGACUGGGUCAUAAAUAAAGAAUUGGACCAAAGCAGCAUGAGCAUUUUUAUUAAAAAAUGGAGAGUAAUAAAGUAAAGCUGUAAUAAUAACAUGAAAAUGUUGACUAAUAUCUGUGAAAAGCUUGGAGAGGCAUGGAGGGAAUGAGCUAUUGUGUUCUGUGGCGGGUGGGGUGCUGGUGAAGUGUUUGUGGUUAGGACAAACACUCUGAAUUUUGCAAGCAGAGCUGAUGAGUUCUAGGGUUUGCUUUCUGGAGACUCCCUGCACCCAUGGGGAAAUGGCUGGUGCUCAGGGAAGGCCAGGACAGCCGGGCCGUUAUUGAACUCAUCAGAGCCUCUUCCAAGGGCUUUGUCUGUCUUUUUUCCAUCUCCCCCAGUGCCACUGGUAAAAUAUGUUCCAACAUCACAGAGGCAGAUGAUGAACUCCUUGUUCCAGAGCCGUGCCUGGCCUGUCCCAGCACACCCAGCAGCACCCACCAUUUUGCCUUGCUGAGUUGGAGCUGCGGCUGGUGCCUGGUGUGGCCUGGCAGAGGGAAGGCUGUAUCUGCGGAGACGUCAGCAGAGCACAAGUUCAAAGGAGGGGAAGGGAUAGGGAGAUAAGAGCACUUUGAAUCUUCAUUUAAAAAAGAAAAUCUGAUUAAGAUGUGCUGGCUAACUCGACACACAUGAACCCCAACACCACAAGCCUCACAGCUUGUACAUGUGCUGUAGAUAAUUAUCAGUUUCACUCUGUGCUACCUACAGUGACAGAGCCACUGGGCUACUCCAGCACCUACCUGGGUUGCCCAGUGAGGCCCACUUGGACCUGGGUAGUAGGACUGGGGCUGAGAGUGCUGAUUAGGCCAGAGGGGUGGGUCGUGAAAUUCCGUGCAUAUUUCUGAAGCCAUAAGAUUAUGGCAGAAGGCAGGUAACGAAUGCCAGACCUUGAAGAGAGCCGCAGGUAGCCUUGAUGUGAGAAUAACAUGACUUUGGGGGAUGGCACAACAAAGCACCUCCCUUCCCUGUCUGAGAGGCUUCUGUUCAGUACCAAACCUCCCCCAAAGCUGAAAUGACCUUCUGUCUGCCUGUCCACGGGAGGCAGAGACAGAGAGACAGGAUGCAGACAGAGACAGAGAGGUCAUGUUUUUGUUAGAAAGAAGAAAUAAGCAGAAGAGAGGUGGUGAAACAAUCCCAAACCCACAGCUCUUUGUGAGGGGGAGCUGGGAAAACUCUCCCUCUCUCUACCCAUGCAUGGCCCCACGACAGUUUUCUUUCAUGAGCUCUUUGUACUUCAUAGAAUCACAGAAUCAUAGAAUCAUUAAGGUUGGAAAGACUUCUAAGUUCGUCUAGUCAAACUAUCAACGCAUGCCUGUAACUGCUUUAGACCAUGCCACUCAGUGUGACAUCCACCCUUUUCUUGAACACCUCCAGGGACAAUGACUCCAUCACUCCCUGGGCAUCCUGUGCCACUGACUCACCACUCUUUCUGAGAAGAAAUGUUUCCUGAUAUCCACACUUCAUCCACAACCUCAAGAUCGCCUUCACUAUAUUCUGCAAAUCUUCAAGGGGAAAUGCUAACAAUUACUACUAAGUCUCACACUGUGCACCCUCCCACUACCCCAUCCUUGUGGAAGAUUGUUUUUUUUUCGUACACUUAGUCCUUCAUUUCAUGGGACUUCAUGCAUGGGGAGCUUCAAGGUCUCUAAGUUAUGAAGCCUAAUCUAACCUGCAAGAUGCUCUGGUAAAUGGAGUGUUUACAGUAGGCACUGCAAUACAUCAAAUGUAGCUCUGAAGGCUUCUGAGGAACAGCUGGAGGCCAAUAAGAUAGUCUGGAUUUUGGGGGGGAGUGUAGAAAUAUACCUAUAAAUAAUACUUUCCAUCUAUGCCAAAAACCGAAAUGCAAGCAUCUAAUUCCACAGAGAAGAAGGCAGCUCACUUUAUAGCAAAGUAGAUACACACCCUGUUGAGUAUUAGAUACAUGCUAACUGAUGGACCUUCUCUGGAAGUUCGGUUGUGUCCCACUUGGUGAUCAACUGCAUCUCUUCAAAUAGAACAUAAAACAUUAUUUGUUUAUUUUUGCAAAAGAUACAGAACAUAAACCUAUUCCCACAACAGUGCUUUAAUUACCCCAAAAGGCUGACAAUAAAUUUACAUUUUGAUUAAGAGUAAUGAAUUAUGCAUGAUUGCUUAGCAGUUUCUACAUAGUUAGCAGACAAGCACGGGGAAAUCUACAGUAUGGAUUGCAGAAAUUAAUCCUGACAAAAGAAGAAGGCGGCCAUUUUGUUUGCAGUAGCUGACCACUUAGGAAAAAAGUCUUUCCCAAUAUCAGACUGUUAAAAAUAUCCUACUGAAGCUCUGCUACAAGCUCCAUAUUGUAUUAUGGUCUAUGAGAACUGAGUUCAUCUUCUCUCUAUCAUGACAACACAACACUUGAAGAUCAUUUCAGUAGAAAUUUAGCCCCUCUGAACACUUUAGGACUGUGUAUGUAGGAAGAGUGACGGCAAAACAUUUUCCAUCCUCAGCAGGGACACGGAAACACCAGCCUAACUGCCAAUGCUGCAUACACCCAGGAUUUUGCUAUGUUUUGUCAGCCCACCUGUCUUAAGUGUUGCUCUUAAAACCAUAGCAUCCAUUCAAGGUGAAAGAAAAGGGAGGAAGUUAACUCUUCUGGAUGCACAAAACAGCGUGUAUAUUUGAGUACAUACAAACAAAAUCCUGAAAAACAAAAGCACUAGAGGAUAAGCUAGACAUGCAAAGAGUGCUUGAACUGUGACUUCUGAGACUUUUUACAUCACAGGUUCUUAACAUUAGGAAUAGGCAUUAGAGCAUCACUCCUAUGUUAUUUAUAAUUUCUCUACCUGUUCUGCCUCUUAAAGUUUUAACUUUCAAAACAGUUUAUGUUUUAAAAAAAAGUAAUAAAAACAUGAAAGGCAGAAAGAAAAAUGAACCAUCAAGGAAAAAAACAUCUAAUUGGAACUAUCAUCUCAAACUGUAAUUUGACAAAGUUGCUUGACUUCCAUAUUUUAGCAGCUUGUUUUGACAUCGUAACAGCAAUUGCCUUCUUCAAUUGCAGAAUGAUCUGUGUUCCAGCCCUUCUCUGCUCCUUACUGGAGGUUCCAACCUUCCAUACUUUUGUCUGAAGGAGAGCACUACCAUGGAAAGUGGACCCCACAGUGAGCAGCCACUGUGAGCUUUGCAUGGAUGAAAAUCUGAGUUUUGCAGGAGCCAGAAAGGCCAGUGGAGAGGUAGCUCAGAAUGAAUCCACAGAGCUGAGUUAAAGCCCAUAAUUCUGCAAGUGAUGGCACUGUGUGAAGUGGACUGGGGCUCAGUAAUUCCACCUGACCACCACGGAUCCAGGGCUCACAGAUCCCAACAGGAUCCAGGGCCAACAGAUCCACCAGUGCAAGGGACAAAUUGUUAAUGUUAGUAGAAGACUUGCAGAGAACUAUUUGUGAGCUGGAUGGCGUCUGGAUCCAGGAGCUGCUAUACAAGCCAUCUUGUUCCUGCUGGACCUUUCCCGUUAGCCUCAGCUGAAAAUGGUCCCCUAACUCGUUUCACACUGAGAUGCCAAAGAGGUGGCUGUGCUUGUUAUUCAUUUUCUUCCAAGACUGGGAGAAAGCACUGAGCACAAAAAUGUCAUUCACUGAGACAGUCACUGACUGAGGCACUCCCUGUUUGGGCAGACCCUGAGCCAGAUCAAAGUCCUCUUUCAGACAGUGGCUCACACCACAGAGAAAGGGGCAAAUCCCUCAAAUUCAGUAGUCACACCAUAAGUAGUCCACAGAACAUCCUCCCAAACUGCUCACUUAAAGAUGCUAAAGCACCCUGAAGGAGAACUACAGACACUUGCUUAAUGUUAUUGUUCCAUUUAAGUGAUCACUUGUGGUGCCAAGGGGAUAUCAUCCCUUUUCCAGGAAGAAGAAAGCAUAUUAUAACAUUGUCUGUAC